rnacentral:rRNA from 1 species
UACAGAGGGUGCAAACGUUGUUCGGAAUUACUGGGCGUAAAGCGCGUGUAGGCGGCCCGGCAAGUCGGAUGUGAAAUCCCUCGGCUCAACCGAGGAACUGCGUCCGAUACUGGUGGGCUUGAAUCCGGGAGAGGGAUGUGGAAUUCCAGGUGUAGCGGUGAAAUGCGUAGAUAUCUGGAGGAACACCGGUGGCGAAGGCGGCAUCCUGGACCGGUAUUGACGCUGAGGCGCGAAAGCUAGGGGAGCAAACGGG